CGUAGGGUGCGAGCGUUAAUCGGAAUUACUGGGCGUAAAGCGUGCGCAGGCUGUUUUGUAAGUCAGAUGUGAAAUCCCCGAGCUCAACUUGGGAACUGCGUUUGAAACUACAAGACUAGAAUAUGUCAGAGGGGGGUAGAAUUCCACGUGUAGCAGUGAAAUGCGUAGAGAUGUGGAGGAAUACCAAUGGCGAAGGCAGCCCCCUGGGAUAAUAUUGACGCUCCUGCACGAAAGCGUGGGGAGCAAACAGGAUUAGAUACCCUGGUAGUCCACGCCCUAAACGAUGUCUACUAGUUGUUGGUGGAGUAAAAUCCAUGAGUAACGCAGCUAACGCGUGAAGUAGACCGCCUGGAGAGUACGGUCGCAAGAUUA
rnacentral:rRNA from 1 species